rnacentral:rRNA from 1 species
UACGGAGGGUGCGAGCGUUACUCGGAAUUACUGGGCGUAAAGCGCAUGCAGGUGGUUCAUUAAGUCGGAUGUGAAAGCCCCGGGCUCAACCUGGGAAUUGCAUUCGAUACUGGCAAGCUAGAGUAUGUGAGAGGGGGGUAGAAUUCCAAGUGUAGCGGUGAAAUGCGUAGAGAUGUGAAGGAAUACCAGUGGCGAAGGCGGCCCCCUGGCACACUACUGACGCUCAGGUGCGAAAGCGUGGGGAGCAAACAGG